GUAAUUCUGAAGCAGCAGUAUCACAGUUGGCAGGAUGAGGAACAACAGUGGCUUUGUGAUCACAGAACUGGAAUUUAAAGAGGCUGGACCUUCAGAACUGAUCUUGGUCAGCCAGCGGCCCUGCUUACAGAUGAGACACUGAAAGGCAAAAGGCGAUGGUCUUCCCUUUCCGUGUCAGCAUUGUAUACAGGUUCCCUAUCGCACAUACAAGGGUUAUGGAAUGUAAGCCAAAAUAAGGGUCUGGCCUAGGAGGCAGCAGCCUGAGGAAAGGAAGGCCCUGAAGUCAGUUUUCAAAGGGCUGACCCUUGGCCUAUUAUGUUUCUGAUACAUCUGUUUAAGCAAGCGGCUCCUAAGACUACACUAAGGUUUCUUCCAUCCCCUAGCAGCUCACAGUUGACAAUUCCCAGUUCUCUCAGCACCAGUGAUGCCUGCCCUUAAGACACAUUGCUGUUGAUCAGUGCUUGAAUACUGACGGCUAAUUCUGAUAAAUUUCUCAGGCUUAUUUCCUUAAUCUACAUUGGCUCACAUUGUCCCCUAACACAUCCCUGUUAACUGAAAUGCAUUGCCACCAUAAAUCCUCACGUUUUCAUAGGUAACAUCACUUGCUAAUGUAAUUGUCUACUUGGCUAUUUUAUUUGUAAUUUAAAAAGUUCUGUCCUAGUAGUCCAUAUUAUAUAAGUAUACAUAUGCAAUUUGUAUUAAUUGUAUAAGAUAGUUAUACAUAGCACCAUAUGGGAAACUGCAGUAUGGAGUUUCUCCCAUGGGGAGGUUAUCAGCUACUUAAGAGCUAGAGGAUACUAGUUUCGAACCUGGGAUGGCUAAAUCUAUGAAAAUCACCUAUAACUAUGGUGUCACAGCCCUGUGGCUACUGGAGUAAGUUGUCAUCAACUAGUGACAAGAGCUGGUCGCAACACUUAGUAGGAAGCACAGUGGCAUAAGGAAACCUGGACUAGUGGGGCCUUUAUAUCUAAAAUUAUGUAUUAUUCCUUAUAGGCAGAAUCUGUAAGUACGUUAUGACUGCUAAUGACUUUUAAAGCAAACAUGUUAACGAUCUUUCUAUGGUAAAAACUGUUAUUUGGGGACAUCACCAGAUGAUGUGGACAUUCUUGCAGGUAUUUUGGCAUACCCAGGCAAGCUGUCAUUGGUGUAUAUUCCAGUUAACCUCUGGAGAUGAUCGUAACAGUUUACAGGGCCUUUCCAUUUGGGAUGGAUAUAUCAAGAGGGAGACAAACUGGUCCAAAUCACCAGAAAGAAAAUCUCACAGCACCGACUUGGCAUCUGUGUUAAAAAAUAGCAACUAUAUUUAAAAUAAACUGUACAACAUAAAAAAUUUAAAUUAAAAAA
rnacentral:lncRNA from 1 species